CGCCCCGCACCGUCCAGGGGUGUUGGGUAUUGUAGUUUGGGGGGCUGCUGCCGCGGUGUCCUCGUCCUCCUCGGGUGGUCUUCGGCAGGAUGAAGGCUUUAAGCCGAAGUCCAGGAGGGUGCCACAAGCCGGGCAAAUAGCCUGGGAUCGUAUAAGCCCUGAAAGGUCCAGACAGCCCCUCCCCGCCUUCCUUUGUUCCUGAGACCACAUCCUUUCUCCGGACUCCACCCACUACUGGCUUCAGUAUUCAGGCUUGCUCCGCCUACUCUCACAGCGCUUGCGGGACACCUGGUCUUUGCCAUCUCAGGUUCCUGUUCUGGUUCUUCUCAUCCAUUGAAAGAGCUCCAAAGGCUUGAGGUCAUGGCCACUGAUCAGGGCCAUCCACUCUCCAGCUCGAGAUCUCCAGCCUUGUCUGGGCAAUGGAAGUACCUGCUGUCUGCAUCAGACGGGUUUUUCAACCACUGACCAAGCCGUCUGGAAACUGGUUGCUACAGUGUCUCAGAAGAAGCUGACAUACUGAGAUUCAUACUCCGAAACAAGCCCAGGGAAGUGAUAGCUGCAGAGGGCCCUUUUCAUUCCCUUCCUCCCUGCCUGGCGCCCUCUAUCUUUAAGGCAAGACUAGGAUUCUGCCUGUGCUGGCUAAUUUUUUUUUUUUUUAAAUGUCAACUUGACACAAGCUAAAGUCAUCAGAGAGGAGGAAGCCGCAGUUGAGGAAAUGCCUCCAUAAGAUCAGGCUGAAGGCAAGCCUGUAGACAUUUUCUUAAUUAGUGAUUGGUGGAGUAGGGCCCAGCCCAUUGUGGGUGGCACUAUCCCUGGGCUGCUGGUCCUGGGUUCUAUAAGAAAGCAGGCUGAGUAAGCCUUGGGAAGCAAGCCAGUGAGCAGCUCUCCUCCAUGGCCUCUGCAUCAGCUCCUGCCUCCAGGUUCCUGCCCUGUGUGAGUCCCUGUCCUGACUUCCUUCAGUGACGAGCAGUGAUGUGGAAUGGUUAGCCGAAUAAACCCUUUCCUUCCCCACUUA